UACGUAGGGGGCGAGCGUUGUCCGGAAUUAUUGGGCGUAAAGAGCGUGUAGGCGGCCAGAUAGGUCCGUUGUGAAAACUGGAGGCUUAACCUCCAGCGGUCGAUGGAAACCAUCUGGCUAGAGUCCGGAAGAGGAGAGUGGAAUUCCUGGUGUAGCGGUGAAAUGCGCAGAUAUCAGGAAGAACACCCGUGGCGAAGGCGGCUCUCUGGGACGGUACUGACGCUGAGACGCGAAAGCGUGGGGAGCGAACAGG
rnacentral:rRNA from 1 species